ensembl:misc_RNA
UGGUGUAGCCCUAGAGACAAGAGUUCACCAUCCAAAAAAUAGAUCACUGGCUCACCCAUGUGCAUCAACCAUGACCUUGAGAGAUCAUCUCUAGGAGAAGAGAGUAGUGUCAGUGUCCAUGCUCAUUCUCACUUUGGCCACC